CUCAGCGGGACUGCCGAAGGCUCGACAAUGCAGACUCAGAGACUCGUUGGUGCAGGUAAAGAUCUCUCUCUCUCUCUCAUUCUAUUUUACAGUUGACGUCGACUGGGUUGCGUGGACUAGAGAUGGUGGUGUGACGGGGUGCCAUGGGUGUUCAAUUCCUGGUUUAUGUAUUUUUUUUAUUAUUGUAAUGCAAUUUAUUUAUUUCUUUUUGUUUAAAUUGUUCUUGUAUCUUGCUCUGUGCAGUCAACUUGAAGGAGUGAAGUCCACUCGACUUCCCUCUUACGCCACUUUUCCCCGUGUUUUGGCUCCAAACGGAGUGAACCCCUAGAGACCUUGAAGGAAACGGUUCAAUUUCCACGAAUCUUGGAUCAUGGAAGUCUUGUAAGAAAUUCUCAUAUUCCAUGAGAA